GCAGAUGGUCAGCAGCCUGGCAGGCUGGAGGAAGGUGCAUGUCCACCUCCAACUAGACUCUAGAGCAACAAUCUGAAGACUGGAACUGGGCUUCAAGGGUACAAGAUUUAGAAAACUCUUGCUUCCUAACAAGAAAUCGACACGAAACUGUAUUUGAAACUCAGGCAAAUCAUGAACACAGCAGAGAAUUUUCAUGACAAGCCUCAGUCCAGAAGCAGAAGAAGACAUGAUCUCCAGGAGAUGCUGAAUGACGUGGGACUGUCUGUUGACUACUGGCUGCCUAAGCUUCAGGAAGACCUGGGUGUGACCUCUGCCCAGGCCUUGCAAUAUUUGGACAAAAGAGACCUCCAGAAGCUGAAGUCACAGACACAACACACAUGGGAGAAAAAGGCUCUAGAGAAGCUGCUGGACCUCUCACAGCCAAAUAGUGUUGCAGAGCUGCAGGAGACUCCAGGGGAGAUGAUAAAGAGCAGGCAGAGGCAGGCAGGACAGGCACUGCAGGCUUUGAGGGCCUUUCAGUCAGAAGGGAAGCACAGAGAGGAAGAGGCAGUGAGGAAAAAAGAAGCAGAGCUGAGACAAGCAAUGGAGAUCCCUGAGGAAUGCUGGCCAAUGGCUGAAGUGUUCCUAAAAGACAUCACUGAAAUAAUGGAGAGACAUCUCAGUCACAUGGAACAGACCCUGGCUCACAGACCAAACCUCUCAGAUGGAGACCUGGUAAGAUGAGCAUCUGGAGGGCUGGCCCUGCAGGGGAUUUAUAAGCCACCAAAAGGACUUAGUGGCAAGGAGAGAAGAGCUUCUCAGGGUCCCCAAGAAAUUCUUCCUCUUUGGACCUGAACAAGGAAAAAGGAUGGAAGCUAAAGAAUUCACAUCUUCUCAAGCAGAAUCCAUGUUCACUGAAGCUGUGGAGAAGCUAGGAUUUGGAGCAAUUGUAUCAAUCAAGGAUGGACUCUGGGGGUUUAGUUCAGAAUUUGAUAUCAAGCAAAGCAAACAUUCAGAAUGGAAAGACACCUACCAGUCAUACUCAGACAAUUCUUAUUUCUGUUCAGCAAAGUAUAGCUAUGUGCUCCUGGCCUCCUUCCACUUUCAAACUGAUAAGCUCCAGCUCUCCAUAGCUGCUCUCAAGGAAUUGAAAUUCAUUGAAGAACAACUGGAACACACUGAAGGACCAAAUACAUCCCUCUCACUGAGAAACAGGACGGAGAAUUUCUUCAACAGAUUUGGUUCUCAUGCUAAUCAAGGCCCUUUUCACCUUGGGGGAAUCUACUGCUGGAAGGCCAUUUCAGAGGGUUUCAAAAUUGGCCAGCUGGAUUAUGUGAAGCAACAGGCAGCAGAGGCCUUAGAUAGUUACAUAAGGGAGAGCUAUAAUGGCUUUGGAGUUGAAGUUGGAGCAAGGAUGAAAACAUCAGAUUCAUAUUCAGUAACAUCCUGCCAGAAUGCAACUAAUCAACAGCUCCAAAUCAGUGUGCAAGUUUCUGUAUCCCAGACAGGUGGACCAGCAGAAGCAAGUGGAAUUGUCCAAUGGACAGCUAGCCUUCUCACAAGCAACAAAACCUGGUCUGUCAUUGACAAGGAACUUCACUUGGUGCCCAUUUGGGACAUCAUCCUCAACAGCCACAGAAGUGAUUUUAAGGACCCCCUUCAAGUGGCUAAAUGUUUGAAAAACAACUACACUGCACUGACUAGCCUUUCUGAUCAAAUACAGGAUGAAGAAUAUGUGUACAAUACUGGGCAAGAAAUUAGACUUUUUAAAAAGAAUAUGAAAUCCCAAGAGGUUUCUGAUUAUGAGGGAAGACUGAAGACACUGAUAGUUCCAUGCAAACACUGCAUCAAAAAAUUAAAAAUUAUGCCAUUUGGAUUUAUAUGUUUUUCACAGACUGGCAAUUGCAGAAUUUUCUACUAAGCACAGUCAAUGUUCUGAAAAAAGCUGCCACUUAUAUAACUCAAUUUAUUAAUGCACAGGUGUGUAGACUCCAUGAUGGAGACUAUAAAGCCACAACUUCAUCGUUACAGAUGAAAAAACAGUUGCAAUGGCUCUAUCCUAAAAGAAAACAGACUUAUAAUCAACAAAAUCAUGAGAACAACACAAAGCAAAUGUUAGAAGUGGGACCUUUCCUGGACUUACUCCAGUGACUAGGAUUAGAACAUUUUUAUCCAAAAAGGAUGAGCAGAGCUGACUUCCAUAUGAUCUACAAAACAUCUGUACACAAGUCCCAGCCAACAUCUGAACAGGAACUUCCUUACUAUUUCCUACAAAAACUACUGAUGUUGGAUUGCAGGUUGAGAAAAAUGACCUUCAAAGAUGAAGAAGACCAUGUCUCUAACAAUUCCUUCUGUCAGAAAAAUGAGGCUUUUGAUCCAUAUGAAGAGUCCUUUGAAGACAGUGAUGACAUCAUGAUGUCAUUAGCCAAAAAGUCACAGCCCCACAUUCACCCAAUAGAUAUCCAGAUGGCCAUUUUUCACUGUGCAGAUGAUCUUACCAGGCAAUAUAUUUUGUCCAAACUUUCCAUUUGUCAAUAUGCACUCCCUCUUGUGGUACCAAAUCCCAACACUUCUGAAAUGGAAUUCCUUCUCUGGUCUCUCAGACAAAUUAGGAGGAGUUGGCAAGAAUUAGGUGAGUCACCACAGGACAAGAGCUACAGUCACAAGGAUCAGCAGAUGUGUAGUAUUUCUACCCCCAUUGUGUCCUUCAUUAGAGUUGGAAAUGGCCUCUCUGCUUCCAAAUCUCAGAUCAUGAACUCUCUUCUCAGUAAAAGUAAACAUGAUGUGUUUUUUCACAGACACUGCAGAGGAAGCAACAAACAUUGUCUCCUGAUGGGGGGGAGUGGUGGAAAUAUGCUGGUUCUGCCCUGGAGGCCUUGAUGAUGACAUAUUUGAUAAGUGUCUGACAUUCACCAAUCUUCAUGGAGAUGCCAAGAAACAUAGAAAACAACUAAAAUUCCUCCAAGAUGUCUCUUCUCUCAUUGUGAUCCUCAUGUCAGCUUCUGAUAACAAUAAAGAAAACCAAAAGUUUGUCAGACACCUCUGCCAAUCACCAAGACCUUUGAUCUGCUUGAUUGAUGACAAAGAAAAGGUUGACACAAAUAAUUCUGGU